GGGUUGUGAGGUUAAGCGACUAAGCGUACACGGUGGAUGCCCUGGCAGUCAGAGGCGAUGAAGGACGUGCUAAUCUGCGAAAAGCGUCGGUAAGGUGAUAUGAACCGUUAUAACCGGCGAUGUCCGAAUGGGGAAACCCAGUGUGAUCCGUCACACUAUCGUUAACUGAAUACAUAGGUUAACGAGGCGAACCGGGGGAACUGAAACAUCUAAGUACCCCGAGGAAAAGAAAUCAACCGAGAUUCCCCCAGUAGCGGCGAGCGAACGGGGAGCAGCCCAGAGUCUGAAUCAGCUUGU
rnacentral:rRNA from 1 species